rnacentral:rRNA from 1 species
GGUUAAGCGACUAAGCGUACACGGUGGAUGCCCUGGCAGUCAGAGGCGAUGAAGGACGUGCUAAUCUGCGAUAAGCGUCGGUAAGGUGAUAUGAACCGUUAUAACCGGCGAUUUCCGAAUGGGGAAACCCAGUGUGAUUCGUCACACUAUCAUUAACUGAAUCCAUAGGUUAAUGAGGCGAACCGGGGGAACUGAAACAUCUAAGUACCCCGAGGAAAAGAAAUCAACCGAGAUUCCCCCAGUAGCGGCGAGCGAACGGGGAGCAGCCCAGAGCCUGAAUCAGUGUGUGUGUUAGUGGAAGCGUCUGGAAAGGCGCGCGAUACAGGGUGACAGCCCCGUACACAAAAAUGCACAUACUGUGAGCUCGAUGAGUAGGGCGGGACACGUGGUAUCCUGUCUGAAUAUGGGGGGACCAUCCUCCAAGGCUAAAUACUCCUGACUGACCGAUAGUGAACCAGUACCGUGAGGGAAAGGCGAAAAGAACCCCGGCGAGGGGAGUGAAAAAGAACCUGAAACCGUGUACGUACAAGCAGUGGGAGCACGCUUAGGCGUGUGACUGCGUACCUUUUGUAUAAUGGGUCAGCGACUUAUAUUCUGUAGCAAGGUUAACCGAAUAGGGGAGCCGAAGGGAAACCGAGUCUUAACUGGGCGUUAAGUUGCAGGGUAUAGACCCGAAACCCGGUGAUCUAGCCAUGGGCAGGUUGAAGGUUGGGUAACACUAACUGGAGGACCGAACCGACUAAUGUUGAAAAAUUAGCGGAUGACUUGUGGCUGGGGGUGAAAGGCCAAUCAAACCGGGAGAUAGCUGGUUCUCCCCGAAAGCUAUUUAGGUAGCGCCUCGUGAAUUCAUCUCCGGGGGUAGAGCACUGUUUCGGCAAGGGGGUCAUCCCGACUUACCAACCCGAUGCAAACUGCGAAUACCGGAGAAUGUUAUCACGGGAGACACACGGCGGGUGCUAACGUCCGUCGUGAAGAGGGAAACAACCCAGACCGCCAGCUAAGGUCCCAAAGUCAUGGUUAAGUGGGAAACGAUGUGGGAAGGCCCAGACAGCCAGGAUGUUGGCUUAGAAGCAGCCAUCAUUUAAAGAAAGCGUAAUAGCUCACUGGUCGAGUCGGCCUGCGCGGAAGAUGUAACGGGGCUAAACCAUGCACCGAAGCUGCGGCAGCGACGCUUAUGCGUUGUUGGGUAGGGGAGCGUUCUGUAAGCCUGUGAAGGUGUGCUGUGAGGCAUGCUGGAGGUAUCAGAAGUGCGAAUGCUGACAUAAGUAACGAUAAAGCGGGUGAAAAGCCCGCUCGCCGGAAGACCAAGGGUUCCUGUCCAACGUUAAUCGGGGCAGGGUGAGUCGACCCCUAAGGCGAGGCCGAAAGGCGUAGUCGAUGGGAAACAGGUUAAUAUUCCUGUACUUGGUGUUACUGCGAAGGGGGGACGGAGAAGGCUAUGUUGGCCGGGCGACGGUUGUCCCGGUUUAAGCGUGUAGGCUGGUUUUCCAGGCAAAUCCGGAAAAUCAAGGCUGAGGCGUGAUGACGAGGCACUACGGUGCUGAAGCAACAAAUGCCCUGCUUCCAGGAAAAGC